rnacentral:rRNA from 1 species
AUUGAACGCUGGCGGCAGGCCUAACACAUGCAAGUCGAACGAGUGGCGGACGGGUGAGUAAUGGCUGGGCAACUGCCUGAUGGAGGGGGAUAACUACUGGAAACGGUAGCUAAUACCGCAUACCAUCGGAUGUGCCAAGAUGGGAUUAGCUAGUAGGUGGGGGAAAGGCUCACCUAGGCGACGAUGCCUAGCUGGGCUGAGAGGCGGACGAGCCACACUGGAACUGAGACACGGUCCAGACUCCUACGGGAGGCAGCAGUGGGGAAUAUUGCACAAUGGGCGCAAGCCUGAGCCAGCCAUGCCGCGUGUGUGAAGAAGGCCUUCGGGUUGUAAAGUACUGUCAUCGGGGAGGCGUUACCCGCAGAGGAAGCACCGGCUAACUACGUGCCAGCAGCCGCGGUAAUAC